GUCCCAAGCAGAAACGUCUGCAUUUCUGUGAAAGAGACACCCAUGAUGGCAGAGCUGUGUAACAGAGUUUCUAAGGCUUUGACCCUUGGCCUUAAGUCAGAGAUAGUGCCUCAGUUACUUCUCACCAUGGGUGACUGGCCUGGGUUCUUGGCUGUACUCUCCUUCCCGGUUAGGAAUCUGUAACACCUAAACUAUCCAAGAGCCUGAGGUUCAGGAAUGCUAACUAGGGGAGCAGGCCAAUGCUUGGGCUUGGUCUUUCUGAAUAAACAUUCUAAACAUGGUCUCAGCAUUCCUACUUACACCUGUUUCUAGCAUCUGGCUUUGGUUCUCUGACCCAGCCUAGCAGGUGCGAGAUGGAUACUGGGUGAUUGCCCACUCAGCAGCCUUAAGUGUAGCUGUACCCCUCCUGUCCACAUUCCUUUAAGGCAAAGGCAUUUCAUGAUAGAUGGGCAAGGGUUUCUUUAAAUUGACCCAGAAAGACAGGCAUUUAACAUGCAUUGGUAAGCAGAUCCUGUGUCAGGUUGAAUUUCUGACUGGCAUUCCCUGCAGCACUGAGAGAUUGAGGAAAUGGCAGCCCAGCUCUGGGGGCCUGGGCAUGAAUUUCCUCAAGGCCCCCAACAUCUCCUCAAUGGCCUGGCAUCUGAUCCCUCAGGAUAAGGCAUGAAUAUUUCUAGGUAAAGUAUUAUCUGGCAGGGGCAUACAUGAGGCCAUCAUUAUCCAUUAAUGUCUUCAUUGCAAUGCAUCUUCUCAGCUUGAUUGCUAUCACUUGACUGAGCCUUAAGGAAUGGAACACAAGACAGGUAAGCGUUAGUGGAUCAGAGUCAUGGAUGAUGUAGAGAAUGAUCAUUUGGGGAAGGGUUGAUGCUGGUAUGCCAUGGAGGCCCUGGGAAACUUAGAGACUCAAAGGCACUGCUCACUGAUUAAAAUAAGCUCACUCUUCUACUUUGGGGCAGCUUAAAAAAAUAAUGCCCCCGUCACCCUCAAAUGUGGCUACCCAAACUUGUGCCAGAGUGAAUGUCAGGAAAGCAUUUGUUUAGUUUCAUUAGGUAGAAGAGGUGGGGUGAGAUGCAUUUAGGUAAAGGGGGCUACUGGCAUUGACCCCCAAGCCCAAACAAACACAUAUCCACCAAUCUGCACCCAGUUAUGUCCCCUAUGCUAAGAUCCUGGGGACUAAUCUGUACUCAAAUGAAUUUUAAAGGUAUUUUCAUGCUUUCACUGUCAAGAAUCUUGCCAUGAGACACACUUUAGCUUUAAAAAAAUCACUCAUCAUCUGGGCUCGGACAGGGGCCGCCAUGGGGAAGGUGAAUGUGGCCAAGUUGCGUUACAUGAGCCGAGAUGACUUCAGGGUCUUGACUGCGGUUGAAAUGGGCAUGAAGAACCAUGAAAUUGUUCCCGGCAGUUUGAUUGCUUCUAUAGCCAGCCUUAAACAUGGUGGCUGUAAUAAAAUUUUAAGAGAAUUAGUGAAACAUAAACUCAUAGCUUGGGAGCGUACCAAAACUGUCCAGGGCUAUCGGUUGACAAAUGCAGGAUAUGAUUACCUAGCUUUGAAAACACUUUCUUCUAGGCAAGUAGUUGAGUCUGUUGGAAACCAGAUGGGUGUUGGCAAAGAAUCAGAUAUUUACAUUGUUGCAAAUGAAGAAGGACAACAAUUUGCAUUAAAGCUUCACAGACUAGGAAGAACCUCGUUUCGAAAUCUGAAAAACAAACGUGAUUAUCAUAAACAUAGGCAUAAUGUGUCUUGGCUUUAUUUAUCUCGUCUCUCUACCAUGAAGGAAUUUGCCUAUAUGAAGGCAUUGUAUGAGAGGAAAUUUCCAGUUCCAAAGCCAAUUGAUUACAAUCGUCAUGCAGUUGUCAUGGAACUCAUAAAUGGUUAUCCACUAUGUCAGAUACACCAUGUUGAAGAUCCUGCAUCAGUAUAUGAUGAAGCUAUGGAACUAAUUGUCAAACUUGCAAAUCAUGGGCUGAUUCAUGGAGAUUUUAAUGAAUUUAAUCUCAUUUUGGAUGAAAGUGACCAUAUCACCAUGAUUGAUUUUCCACAAAUGGUUUCAACUUCUCAUCCCAAUGCUGAGUGGUAUUUUGACAGAGAUGUUAAAUGCAUUAGAGAUUUCUUCAUGAAACGUUUCAGCUACGAAAGUGAGCUUUUUCCAACCUUCAGGGAUAUCAGGAGGGAAGACACUCUUGAUGUGGAGGUUUCUGCCAGUGGCUACACGAAGAAAAUGCAGGCAGAUGAUGAACUGCUUCAUCCAUUAGGUCCAGACGAUAAAAAUAUUGAAACAGAAGAGAGAUCUGAAUUCUCAUUUUCAGAUGGAGAAGUGGCAGAAAAAGCAGAGGUUUAUAGGUCAGAAAAUGAAAGUGAACAGAACUCUCUAGAAGAAUCAGAGGGCUGCUAUUGCAGAUCAUCUGGAGACCCUGAACAAAUAAAGGAAUAC